GAUGUCUGACAGCUACAAGUGUUUAGUGGAAAGGUAAGUACAAUUAAACAAUGUACAUCGUUUUAGGGACUAAGAUCGCAGAUCGCAGUGAUAGGGGUUGGAAAGGUAAGUAGAUUUCUUGGAUGCGUUUAACUUCUUUCCAGGUGGAUUACCUUGAACCCCAGUAAAGUUUUCUCAUACUAGCAAUCAUUGUUAUGUCGUGACAUGAGCUUCAAAAAUUUUCAUACUCAAUCUGGCUACGCAUCAGAUUUACCCUCAGGGUGAUUAUGCAAAUUUUUAAUGCCCUCAGGUUAUUCCUAGGGGCAUAUGCAAAUUUUUAUAUGCCCUAAGGCUACGCCUCAGGCUAUGCCUUAGGCAAUUUUUCGAAAAAUUCGAAAUUUUUAAAAUAUAGCCCGAGGCAUUGCCCUCAGGCUACGCCUCAGGGCAAAUAAAAAUUUGCAUAUCCCCUCAGGCUAUGCUUCAGGCGUUUUAUUGCACCAUAUUUGGCCUCAGGGUGAUUAUGCAAAUUUUUAAUGCCCUCAGGUUAUUCCUAGGGGCAUAUGCAAAUUUUUAUAUGCCCUAAGGCUACACCUCAGGCUAUGCCUCAGGCAAUUUUUCGAAAAUUUCGAAAUUUUUAAAAUAUAGCCCCAGGCUUUGCCCUCAGGCUACGCCCCAGGGCAAAUAAAAAUUUGCAUAUUACCCUUAGGGGUUAAAAAAAUUUGCAUAUUAUCUCCAGGCUACGCCCGUGGGUAUUAGCAUUUGACUUCUGGCUAUGCGUUGUCAAGCCUUAUGCAAUGCAAAAUUUUCCAAAUUACAUUUUAUUGUUUUCACAUAUUUUGUUCCGUUAUUUUAGGCUGCCCAUGAAGGCUCAAAAUAUCUCUGGUUUCGUUUGAUACUUACCUGAUGCAUUUCCAGUGCUGACAGUUCAGAUGAAUGGACUAUAUAUGAAUAUAUUCUGAAUUAAUCUGCAACCAGAAUCCAUAAACUCCAUCCACCUAUAGAACUUACCUGAAACCAAUGAAAGUAACCACGGAAGGAAACCCUGGCGAGCAGAUGAGCCUGAAAUGCAAACUAUUUGCCUAUGAAUCCUAAAAUGUAAUGAAAAAUUAAACUUUGUAAACUGCAUCGAAUUGAACUGGUAAAAGAAAAAUGAGCCAAGCGAGCAGUCACGGUGACAGCAUGAAACUCCAUUGCUGUUAUGAAAUUUGAAUCUAAUUAUAAAAUGCAUAACUCUGCAAAAACAGUCUGAAAGGGCCAAAUACUGCAGCUCACCACGCUGCUUGGGUGUCCUGACGGGUGACGUGUUCCGCCGUUCCAAGCAUUGCCCACUUUCUGACGGGGUGGACCAACGGGUGGGUGUCUCCGUCGUGCUAACCGCUCGCCGAUUCGUGUCGAAUUCCGGGAGUUCUCACAGGCUGAGAUGUUCCACGAGAACCUAUUGGGAGCGGGAUACCUUUGGGAGACCUUUUUCAAGAUGUCAUCGUUCAGAAGUCCCUAGAGAACCGACAACAGUGGCAUCGUACAUCACGGAGUAUCCUUGCAGCCAGAACGCAGGGAUUCAUCCAGAAGGCGGUAACAGUAUUUUCAAACGCAACUGCAACAAUUAUUAUAUUCAUAUUCGAGACUCUACCCUAUUAAAUAGUAACAGCAAUGAAUUUUUGAGCUCAUCACUUAGAGAGACUAGCAAAUUGAAAGCUGCAUAGAAACAGCAACAAUAGUCUGAGAUGCCCUUCGAUGUCUGGGGAUGCACGCGCUCUACAAUGAAAACGUCAACCUGAGUUACGUUCUUACCUGAAAUGGCUUGGCAAUCGAAUAAAACGUUUUCUUGAAUGGAAUAGGGAAUUGCAAUUGCUUCCCUUGCACGAAGAAUUCCCAGUAAGCGUGAGUCAUUAGCUCACGUUGAUUACGCGCCUGCCCUUUGCGAA
rfam:Trichinella nelsoni scaffold169s, whole genome shotgun sequence.